ACGUAGGGAGCGAGCGUUAUCCGGAUUUAUUGGGUGUAAAGGGUGCGUAGACGGGAAAAUAAGUUAGUUGUGAAAUCCCUCGGCUUAACUGAGGAACUGCAACUAAAACUGUUUUUCUUGAGUGCUGGAGAGGAAAGUGGAAUUCCUAGUGUAGCGGUGAAAUGCGUAGAUAUUAGGAGGAACACCAGUGGCGAAGGCGACUUUCUGGACAGUAACUGACGUUGAGGCACGAAAGUGUGGGGAGCAAACAG
rnacentral:rRNA from 1 species